GUGCUUAUGGUUCAGUCUAAGCAUGAGGCCUAGGAAAGAAACAAAGACUUCACCCCCGAGAAGCAUCAGCAGUGUAAUAACCACAAUUUGUGAGCUUGAGAGAACCUCCAUUUCGAUGGUGAUGAGGCUGGAAAGUGUCAGAGCAGAGGUUGACAAGAACAGCAUGUCAAUGUAACCUGGUCUGAAUUCUGGGUUGCUUGGCUUCAGGAACAUCAAUAGAACUGAACCUAGGAUGCUAAUGAGAAGGAAGUAGGACAACUGAAUCCAGAAUGGGUGAAUAUGCAAGGCAAUGAAUCUAUGGGCUAGAACAACAAAAUUAACAAAAUAUCUACCGAUCCUUCCGAAGCUCUGCAGCUUGUUAUGAAUGAAAUCAUGGUAAAUGCUCGUCAUUUGAUGCAAAGGAGCAACGAGCCAACGAGUAUGAGAAAGCAAAGUGAGUGUCCUUUGCCAAGACCGGUCUGCUUUUGUGUUAUUUAUAUGCAGGCAAUGGAGGAGUAUUGGCUUUGGUGGUAUCUGUGAGACUAUGAUUCCAUUAAAAAAAUCAAUUAUUGGACAGUAAGACCGGUAUAACUAAUCUGUAGCUCAAUUAUUUGGUUUUCCUGGUGAUAGAUGCAAUGCUUCCUUAUCAGAUGCAUAGCUCGAGAAACACCCACACUCUGAGAAGAAUUACUAUACGGAUUCUCAGAAGUGUAAACACUGAUACUACCCAUGGAUGACUAGCUUCUGCAUAAGUAAGUUCUGGCUGCUUGGAACCUGGCCGGAUGAGAUUAUUCUUCGUGGAAUAUUUUCAGCAGCAUUAUUUGUCUUUUUAAAAGUUCUAACUGUUCUAAUGAUUACCUGCUCAGCGUCAAAAAAAAAAAAAAAAGAAGAUGACUUGCUUCUUGUUGUUUUUUUUGGGAAUUCGCAAGGAGCGCAUCUUUAUAUUAAGAAGAAAUAAAGUUUAUGUACAAGUGGACAUAACAAAAGAAAAACAAGACGGGGAGGAUACAGGAGAGGUGCAAGAGCAUUAGAGCCUAAUCUCCAAGCGACCUCUCUCUAUCUACAUGGACUACUAAGGUGUGUAUGGCAGCCCUAGCCAGCCUCCAAAGAUCAGCUUCGUCUAUCAUGGCCCGAGCGAUCUCCACCCAAGUUAUGCUGACCUGAUUGAAAACUCUAUUGUUUCUCUCUUUCCAGAUCGUCCAUGCUACCAGGGUUGCGAUGGUGUCAAAUCCCCGACGAUGCGCCUUGGUCAUCUUCUUUUUGCUAUCACAGAGCCAAUGAUGAAAGGAAGGUUCAUUGAUCGGCAAGCAUUUCGAAAGCCCAAUUGCUCUGAGAGCAAUCCACCACAGCUGCCAAGACUCUGGACAUGCAACCAAAAGGUGAUCGAUAGUCUCGUCACUUUGAUCACAAAGAACGCAACGCACAGGGUGCGACAAGCCAUGGCUCUGGAGACGGUCUGCCGUCCAGCAUCUGUUGAGAGCGACCAACCAAAGUAAGUAGCGACAACGAGGAGGCGCCAAGGAUUUCCAAUUAGGCUUGUAUUGAAAACGGAUUCUACCCGAGAACAAAGCACGGUAUGCUGACCGAGAAGAAUACUCCCUUGAGGACUCCCACCUCCAAGUCAGAGAGUCAGGCUCAUCCGAGAGUUGAACUGAUCUGAGGAUGUCCUAGAGUUUGAAAUACUCCAGGAUAGCUUGGACGCCAAGAGCGGCGGUGAUGUUCCUAAUCCACCCUCUGUCGUGAAGCGCCUCAGCCACCGUACGGCGAUUUCUCAAACGGGCAGGGACAACCGUGUAUACGGCCGGUGCCAAUGAGCGAACCGAUGAGCCUUCGAGCCAGGUAUCUUCUCAGAAAAGAACUGAAGUCCCAACACUUGUUGUUUUUGAUUAAGGGGGUGUUUAGAUCCAGGGGUGUAAAGUUUUGGCGUGUCACAUCGGAUAUGCUGGCACACGUUUGAAGUAUUAAACGUAGACUAAUAACAAAACAAAUUAUAGAUUCCGCCUGUAAACUGUGAGACGAAUUUAUUAAGCUUAAUUAAUCUGUCAUUAGUAAAUAUUUAGGCCCUAUUUGUUUAGGCUUAUAAGCCAACUUAUAAGCCGAAAAGUCUAAGCCUAAACAAACAAGCAGCUUAUUUGUUUGGCUUUUUUGAAGCCAUAAGCCACUCUAACACUAUUAAGCCAAAAACUAGGUUGGAGAAGAUUUUUUGGCUUAUGUGAGGUUGAUGUAUGACUCCACCACUAAACUUAGGACAUUAAAUCCACCGGCUUAUAAAUCAUAUAAGCCAAUAAGCUGACUUAAAAGUCUAAGCCAAUAAGCCUAAUCCUAAACAAAGAGGGCCUUAAUGUAGUACCACAUUGUCAGAUCAUAGACUAAUUAGGCUUAAAAAAUUCGUCUCGCAAUUUACAUGGAAUCUGUGUAAUUAGUUUUUUUUUUUCUAUAUUUAAUACUCCAUACAUAUGUCUAAACAUUCGAUGUGAUAGGGUGUAAAGUUGUAGGGUGGGAUCUAAACAGGCCCUAAAUAAGAGUUUCUCGAGACUAUUUCUGCCUUUGCAACUAGUACAUCAGCGUUCUAAUAUCACAUCUUCAUUGUACGUACGCAAGAUUAGACCUGCCAAAAAAAAUAGAGAAAAUUAAUCUCCAUCGAUACUUAAAAUUGGGAAAUUUUUUUAAAAAAUAUACCCAUUUUCCACUGAUUUUACAUAAAUAUACACAUUUAGAAGGAUUUACAUAAGUAUAUCAUUGUUGCAGAAUAAAAGUGCGAGUACGUGCGUGCGUUACCGUGCCAAUUCGCGCGGCGAAUGUCCCGCGACGCGGGCGCGAGACUACGACUUCGCAUCUCUUAACUGGCUAACUCGGUGAUUAAUAGGUUAAUUAGCGUCAUUAACAAUUAACUAAUUAUUGUUAUUUCUUUUGAUUAAUACUAAUCAUUAUACCAUUUUGCUAGUAGUUGGUGAAGCGAGACCGUACUAAUUAUUGUUAUUUCUUUAAUCAGCAUCAUUAGUAAUUAAUUAAUCACUAAUCAUUGUUUCAUCUCGCUUGUUGGUGUCUCAGACACUCGCCCAAUGACACCGUGCUGGGUCCCGCGCCCUCGUGGCACCGUCCUGCGAGACCGCGGCGUGGCCACCGGUGUCGUUAUUUUCGUGCAACGGUUCAGCGAUAUAUAACGUGCCAUUUUCACAUUCCUACUCAACGACGGUGGUAAAUUUGUGCCAAAGAAAUUACAUCUCGUAUAUUUUUGAGGAAAAGAUAAAUAAAUAAUGUAUUUUUAAAUUUAAUUCCUUGAAGUUGGACUUGGAAAAAAUGGAACAAAAUCUUCAUCGUACACAAAACUUUUCUUGGAAAAAUUGAAGAACAUGGUACUGACCAUGGAUGGGAACGUUGAUCGGCAUCUAUUGCUAGGUGCAUGUGCAACUACUAACGGUAGCAAUCAAGGCAUACAAAAUGGACCAAUCAAACUGCUAAUUAAAGAAGGCAAUAAACAAGCAGAAUGAUUGAAGGCAUUGAGGCCAUGUUCUAUCUUUAAUUUGAGUGCAGAGUACAUCAAGUACAGGUACGUUCAUCUCAGUAGUGUAUGAGCUCAUGCAAAAGCAAAUGCAAAAAGCAUCCUUCACCGGCCAACCAGCAGCAUGUAUCCUCUCUCUCUCUCACUUGCAUAAUCCUCCGUACAUACAUAGGUUCGUAGCUAGAGUUUACUUUUUUUUUUGGACAGACUAGUAUGCAGCUAAUUAACUGAUCAAGGUCAAAGGGACAAUGAUGGAGCAUUUGCAUAUGUAGCUUCUUCUGCUAGCUCAUCUGCUUGGCUCUAGCUUCGACAGUAACGCUUGCUUGGGCAUUGGAAGGGACAAUCCGACAAUGGACAAGAGACAUGGCCACUUGGGACAAUUGAUCGAUCAUUGCUGAGUUUGUUCUUGUUCGUAGUACAGGCUGAUUGAUGCAGUAAGAAACAAACACCUGCAGGUUCCUCAGGUUGAUUGGUAAUCUCUGACAGAAAUCCCUCAAUCUUAUCUGGGAUUGAUCUACGUCAUAAAUACCAGAAAGACCAUAGUUUUACACCGUAUAUGUCAAACGUUUAAUUAUCCGUCUUAUUUGAAAAAAAAUUUAUGACUAGUAUUUUUGUUGUUAUUAAAUGAUAAAAUAUAAAUAACACUUUAUGUGUGACUUUUUUUUUAUUUUUUUUCAUAACUUUUUUAAAUAAGACGGACGGUCAAACGUUAGACACGAAAAGCUAUAAUUAUACUUAAAAAAGGACGAAUGUAGUAUGGACAUUUCUAUAUAAACAGAGAUGAUACAUCACUUGCAUACCUGCAAUGAACUUCUGAAAGCUUGAAAUAUGGCUAUAUCUAGAGAGAUAUAUAUAUACUAUACUACAGAUGUGGUGCGUUGUAUUAAAACACAACCCACCCCCACCCCACCCCCCUCUCUAAGAUUAUACACCUAAGGUCCAAUUGGGGCCUGGUCAGACCCGCCAUAUACCUAAGGUUAGACUUGUCUCAUACGGGAAGUUCGGGUCUGUUUUUGAAUUCAGCUAAACUUUGCUAUAAUUGGAUCAUAAUACAAAUUUGGCUAUCAACAAUACUGUUAAGAGAGAAAACUACUCUCCAAUUAUAAAUAUUAAAUAUUAAAUGUUUAGGAUAACACACUAAGAUUUAUGGAUGGAUUUUAGUUCGUUCGAUCGAUCGAAUCUUGUCUUGUUAAGUAAAUCUAUGACCGAAUGAGGUAAUUAACCUCGCAAGCAUGCACACAGCUACUCCCUUCGUCCCAUAAUAUAAGGGAUUUUGACUUUUUAUUUAUAUUGUUUGGCCACUCGUUUUAUUUGAAAAAAAUGUGCAAAUAUAAAAAAUAAAAAAUUGUUCUUAAAGUACUUUGAAUAAUAAAUUAACUCACAAAUAAAAUAAAUAAUAAUUCUAAAUUUUUUAAAUAAGAUAAAUGGUUAAACAGUGCUUAUAUUAUAAGAGGGAGGGAGUAGCAUACAAAUUGUCAUGCGGUUAGCUAGCAGUUUGAGAAGACAAGUUCAUGGAAGACGCUAGAAAUUAAUGUAAACGUGGAGCGAUCCAGUUGAACCUGGCUGCUGGACGUUAACGGCUGAGUUCGGAUGGGGGAGAUGGGAACCUAACUCCUGCGCACGGAAAACGGAGCGGUCCAUUAACACGUGAUUAAUUAAGUAUUAGCUAAUUUUUUUUUAAAAAUGGAUUAAUUUGAUUUUUUUAAGCAACUUUCGUAUAGAAACUUUUUACAAAAAAACACACCGUUUAGUAGUUUGAAAAGCGUGCGCGCGGAAAACGAAGGAGAGGGGAUGGGAAAAGGUGCAUGCGAACACAGCCUACAAUAAAAUAAAGUGCAUUAUUCAGUGAAGAAAAAAAAUAAUACCAUUAUUGGAGGCUGCGACGUACGUGUGCGUGUAGGCAUCGUACAGGUCGCUAGCUCGAUCUCUAUCUCUUUUUUUUUCAGCUUAAUUUGUUGAGGAAGCUAGUUAAUUAGAUGUUGAUUGGCUGCAUCGUAAUCAUAGACUUGAAUUGGCAGCCCAUGAUGAAUGAUUUCUGCCACUGAGGCUGCCGGACGCGUGAGCUCCGCGUAUAGCUACAUGUUCAACUAUCACCUACUGGCGCCGUACCAAUGUUAUCUUCAUUAUUUUUUUAGGGGAAAACAACACCAGGUUGUACCUUUCCAUUGAAUAUAGCGGAAGAAAAAACAACCCCUAAAUACAAAAAAACGAAAAACUUUAUACACUUUAAAUAUUAUACAUGGAGGGGUAGAAGGUCUCGCAAAUGCUUUGCUCCUGCCAUCGUCCAAGUCCGCGCCUCUUCCUUUAUCUUGACGAAGAGCAAAGAUGGCGUGGCCUCCUUGUGCUGGAAGAUUCGUUGGUUCCUUUCCUUUCAUAUCUCUCAAACUAUGAGGAGGAUGAGGGUGCGCAAACCUCUCUUAGAAACCUCUGCCGUGUUAGCUAGAGUCUCCCACCAAUUUUUGACAGUUUGGGUCAUCCCCCAACGCCCAGGGUCGAGCUGCUAGUAAGCUACCCAGGUGGCUACCAUGCUCCAUAUUCUUUUCGUGUAUUUGCAACUGACAAGAAGAUGUAGGGCUGUUUCGCCUUCUCUGCGGCAAAGUGGGCAGAGCCCAUUAUUUUGCCAUCCUCUCGUCGCGAGUCGAUCGGAGGUCCAAACCCUAUUUUGGAUGACCAGCCAGGCGUGGAAUUUACACUUCCCUGGCGCCCAAGCUCUCCAGAUGAGCGAGUCAAAGUUCGUGUCUGUCGCGCCGAAGCAUUGUGCCUGGUAAGCCGACGACGCUGAGUAUUCUCCAUGGUUUGUGAGUUUCCACGCAAUUUGGUCCGACUGCUCAUUGUUUAAGUGAAUGUCUCUCACGGCAAUCCAUAAGGAGACUAGUUGUUCAAUAAGGUCCACCGAGAUUGACGGGUUGGCUUCAAGGUCCAAGUUGUUGAUCCAAGCAUCAAUUUCCUUUCCCUGUCAUAGGGACUUGCCUUUUUUCUUCGAGAUUGCAUAGACCAGUGGCAUGAGGUCCUUUGGUCUGCGCCCAUCUAUCCACGCGGAAUACCAAAAGCGUGUUGUGUUUCCGUCUCCAACGGUUAUCUUUGUUGACGCAGCGAAGAGAACCUUGUCUACUUCAUCGCACGACGUUUCUAGGCCCGCCCAAGGUUUGCUUGGGUCCUUCCAUUCAUGCCAUAGCCACCGUAAACGUAGUGCCCUCGUGAACUUUUCCAAAUUAAGUACCCCGAGACCUCCAUGACAAGUCGGCAUGCACGUUUUUGUCCAAUUGAUCUUGCACUUUCCUCCUGUGAUGUCACCUGUGCCGGCCCAGAGAAAGCGGCGUCGUUGCUUGUCCAGUUGCCCAAGAGCUUCCUUUGAAACUCUAAGGGCGGUGAGGAGGUAGAUUGGUUGGGCCGUUAAGACUGACUUGACGAGCGUGGCUCUUCCAGCCGGCCCCAUGUUCUUUGUAGCGCCCGUUCCGUCGUGGCGCCUAGCGGGAAAAUUAUCUCUUAAAAACCCUAAUUGCGAAAUUUGUUUCUUCGCUUGUUGUCUAGUGUCCGUGCCAUCUCAAGAUCUCAAUCCCCGAUCUAUCGUCGAGUUCAUUUCCGAAUCCAAAUCCUUCCAAAUCAAAUCCAUCCGCAAAAGUCUAUUUUGCCUCCCCCGGGUUCGAUGGGCCGAAUUUCUCUCGGCCCAUCUCCCCCUCCCUCCCGGCGCUCUCUCUCUCUCUCUCUCUCUCCCUUCCUCCGCUCCGCCCGCGCGCCGCGCGCGCGUGCGCGAGAGCCGCGCCCAGCGCCCCUCCCUCCGCUCUGCCCGCGCGCCGCGCGCGCGUGCGCGAGAGCCGCGCCGUCUGCGCCGUCCGCGCCGCCCGGCCCCGCUGCCCUGCCGCGCCUGCAGCCGCGCAGCCGCCCGGCCCCGCAAGCCAGCGUGCGUGCCCAAGCCGCGCCGCUCAAAUCAGCCGCGCCGCUCAAAUCCGCCGCGCCGCCCGUUGUUUCCCGCGCGCGCGUGCCGUGGUGGCCGACCGCCUGGUCGCCGCCGUCGUCAGCGCCUGUCGCUCGUGUCGUCGCGCCGCUCCAAACCGCCCCGCCGUCAUCGCCGUCGUCAUCACCUCGGCCCCGCCUCCCCGCGCGCAAGCCGCCAAGAGACGGAGGCAGAGCCCUCCUCCCUCUGCCGCGACGCUCCCGCUCCCCUCCUCCUUUUUCCCAAAGUGGCAAGGGACGAGCUCCCCUUUUCUCCCCCUCUUUUCCCCUUUUUCCCCCUCGCCGGCGUCACCUCCUGUCGCAGUUUUGGCCGCUAGCCGGAGCGCUAGCUCGCCGGCUUGACCGUCCAAUGCCGGUUCCCCUCUCCCAAACCGACAUUGCCGCCCAUUUAAACCCGGCUUCCCCCCUUUCCCUUCCUCUCCCAUUCGCCUCCGUGCCAUUGCUGUCGCCCCUGUUCGCCGUCGCCGUUCGUCGUCGCGUGUGUGCCGGAGGAGCCGGUGCACACUAGGACGCGGAAGGGCACUCCGGGCGCGCCCUCUUCUUCCUCUUCCUCGGCCCGAGGCCGGAGAGAUUACUCCCGCGCCGUCGGCCUCUCGUCACGGCGCCCCGCCCGCACGGUAGUGCCUCCCUCCGUUCUUCCUCCUCGCUCCAUCUCCCCCCCUUAGUUUUCGGUGGUAGCACGAGUAGCCUCCCCGUAGCUAGCCGGCGCCGCCCCGACCGUUGCCGACGCUCGCCGUGUGCUCGCCGCCGUCGCCGCCCCGCUCGUCGCCGGCCUCGCUCGGCGUAGCUCCGCCCAAUCCGACGCUAGCAUCGGAUUCCCGUAGCCGCGUAGAUGCUCUCGCCGCCGGGAAUCGGCCCCUCGUGACCUCGUCGCCGUUUCCCCCUUCUUCCGCCGCCGGAUGCCGCCGCCGCAAUUCGCCGCCGUCGGGCAUCCUCCGGCGAAUCCGGGUCGUUGGCUCAUCUCCUCUCGUCCUGUGCAGCCACCCGGUGUACUCGCUUUCGCCGGUAUCGCCGUGGUUCGCUCCGCCGCUCACCGCUGUCGUCUGCCGUCCGUUCCGGCCGGCGUCGUCGUCUACCUCCCGCCGGCCCGCGUGGCAGCCACGUAGGCGCCACGACGGCGCCAGCUCAGCCGAGGUCGGGACGGGCCGACCCCGGUCAGUCCCUCCCCGUGCGCGCGUUCCACCGCGAGCCGUGAGGCUGCGCGUGGACCCGCCGCACCCGCGUCCACCGCGAACCGCGCGCGUGUAUCACGUCCAUCCUCCACCCUAGCGCCGCGCCGCGUGCUCCCUCCGCACGGUGAGCCGAGCCGCUGACAAGCGGGUCCCACCUGGGACCGCGCGAGGUGAGCCCGGUCCACCGGCCCUCUCUCUCCUCCCCUCCCGCGCGCGCACUUGGGCCGCCUUGGGCCGGCCGGCCCAUUUAGCUCGGCCGGUCCGCUCCUUUUCCCUUGGGCCGCGCCCUAGCCGCCCAAGGAAAAGUCUAUAAUCCCUCCCUCUUUCCUUUUCUUUUCUUUUUCUUUUUCCAAAAAGGAUUUAAUUAAAUCCUUUUCCCUUUAGACCAAAAAUCCAAUAAUCUUAGAAAUUCAAUAUCUUCCCAACCGUAAAUCCGUUUGACUCCGUUCAGCUUCCAAAAUUCCUCAAAUCUCGAGAUCCAUCUAAUGGCACGCUUAGAGGUCAUUAAUAGGGCCUUAUUUUCGCCGUUUGUUGAGUUGUCCCGUUUCACGUGUAGUUUCGGAGCCCGAAGACCCGCAGUGCGAGGAUUUCGAGGAUCAAGCUCCAGAUUUCGAGCAAGGCAAGCCACCUUUGAACAUCUUGAGCCUAUAUUUGAAAUUUAAUUAUAUUGCUUGCAAAAUAUUAUGCAUUGAUAGGAUCGCACUUAAUCUGUUGUCCCGUCUGCAAGGCAGAUUGGCGGACCUGCCUAAUUUGUUGCAUUUGAUCCUUCCUUUGUUAAUUGUUAUACCAUGUCCCCUUGUAACCACCCAGUUGCGCCUCGAUAUUCGUGCACUCUGUGCGAGUACCGAUGGUCGCCUUCAAACUUAAAAUCUGAAAAACAACUUGGGUAAAACUUGGGUUUUACAAAAGACUUGGAAAACCCGACACCUGGGUCGGCGCUUGCGAACUAAAUGAAUUUCCAAAAUCGUGGACCGGGGAAUGUACCGGGUGUACGGUUUCCCGCUCUCGCACUUAAGGACCGAUUCCUUGGAAUUUCAUCCAAACAUAAGACAAGUACGACUACAUGGGUGGAAUGGGACACCCCUGGCUGAGUAACUAGCUUAUUAGGGGAGCCUUGAUGCCGAGAGACAUGUGGAUUCGCCGGGGUGGUGUCGGGGAGGACCCCUGGGCUUCCUGGCACAGUAUGGUCUGGGACCUAACCUGUUGUUGGUCUGGGACCCCUCUCGUCGGCAUAUGGUAAACCUGUGUCGGCUUUCGAAAUGCCUUGUCAUGAAAGCUUGGAGGUCUCCCGACGUGGCUGAUCCCCACGGGCUGGGUGAUCCGGGUUAGUAAUGUCGUGUGGGUAAAGUGUACCCCCUCUGCAGAGGUUAACAAACUGUUCGAACAACCGUGCCCACGGUCAUGGGCGGAUGUGAGGUGAUUCCUAGCGUAGUUUGGUUUGACUACUGCUUGUGAAAUUGCUGUGUGAAAAGGGGUUCGGUGUUUGAAAAAUCUGCAGCUGAUGGGAUCAGCUAGGCCCGGGUGGCCGUUUGAAAAGUUGUUGGCCCGGGUGGCCGUUUGAAAAGUUGUUGGCCCGGGUGGCCGUUGAAAAAGCUGUUGGCCGGGUGCCAACCUUGUUUAAAUUCUAAAGACUGAUACAUUGCACAUACUCCGACCGGACGAGACGCACUGUCUCAUCCGUGUCGUUUGAGAAGCACUCACUUAGUUGUUUCAGAAAAGAGUUCAAAUAAAAUCAAUUGCAAAAACACCAGCCUCUCCUUGAAGCCUGCAUUAAACACUUAUUUCCCCUGGCUUGCUGAGUACUCCCGUACUCACCCUUGCUCUAUAUAAAUAAUCCCCCUCCCAGUUGCUGAAGAAGAUGAAGCGGAUCCCACUGAUGAGGAGUUCUUCCAGGAGCAAGCCGGCUUCGAUGAGUUUUAGGGUUUCGGCCUAGUUCCCAAGUCGCGCCUGUGAUGUUUGGUCCAAGUCCUGGCUUCCGUUUCCCUUUUGUAAUGUAGUUGUGAGCUCGGGAUCUGUCCGCAGCCCAACAUGACUGUACUUCUACUCUAUAAUAAAGAGAUCUCUGUUGCUGUGAUAUUCUGUCUCCCUGUGAUACCAGCACUGUUUCCUGGGACUGGUAUCGAUUAACAGGUUAAUUUGGAGCGUCACAGGCUAGUUCCGGUCGGUACUAGUUCGGGGCGUGACAUUCUUCCCCCUCCACCUGGCUAUGCGCCCGGUGAUCUUGUCGAAGACGGACUACAUAUCUGACGUUUUUGAACGUGCUGAUGAAGCCUAGAGGGGGGGGGAGGGUGAAUAGGCUGUCCCUAAAAAUUAAAAACAAAUCGCAGCGGUAAAAUUCAAACAUACCGGAACUUCCUGGUAAGGAACACCGGAACUUCCGGUCUGCUAGGCCCGGAACUUCCGGUGUUCUUAGGCAGGAACUUCCGGGUAACAGAACAAAGAUGAAAUUCAAAUUUCGGAAUAGGAGACUAAGCCAAUCUUCACACGAUGAUGCACAGGUAUUCUAAGUAGAGGAUAGAUCACAGAAACAUCCACAGAAACAUCACAGAAAGAGACAAGAGCGAUUUUUUCCCGAAGUUCGGAUCUUACGAUCCUACUCUCCGUUGAGGAGCUCUAAAGAGCUGGGUCUCAAUUAACCCCUUGCCUCACUUGUGCAAAAACCCCAGAGGAAAUCCACAGCCUUCAACCCAAAACACCCCUAGGCAAAUUUCUAGAAUUGAGUGACCACCAAGAUCCAACUCAACCUUCUUAUAGAAAUUCGCCACAAGUGUGAGUUGCUCUACUUGGAAAACCUCUAGAAUCUCAGCACAAGAACUUCAUUAACUUACCUCGUUCCCUUUCGGAGGAGAGGAAAUCCUUCACAAACUUACCCGGGACAUCCACAAUAUGCAACGGAUUCUCGCGGGCGACACCUAACCGUCUAGGAGAUCAUCUCCAAGAGUAAUAAGCACCGAGAUGACAGCCCACGAGAUAUUUCAAGUGCUCACCCAAGAUCCUAGUCUUCACACAUCUCCAAAUCUUCCUCUCUCACUCUCAAUCUCUCUUUUUCACAAGAAUUGGGCUCAAGAUUGAGUGGAGAAGGUAAGGAACACUUGGGAGAGGCUAGUAACAGCUCUAGGGUCGAAAAGUAAAAGUGGAAUGGCCAAAAAACGAGCUGGAAACGAGCUAGUUAUGUAUAACGGCUAGGUGACGUCAUCUAUCCGCUACUCACAAUUUUGAACUGGAAACUAGACAGGAAGUUUCGGACCUGGAAGACAAGAACUUCUGGACAACACUUAGGAAAAUCUUUUUCACAAGACCGGAACUUCCGGACCUGGAAGACAGGAAGUUCCGGACAUGCAUUUCUAGACAGAUGGAGCAUUUGCAAAAAUGACUCCAAGGGGAAAUGUCACUUGAUUCACACUAAGAGCACUUGACACAUCUCAGAGCAUCACCUGGAACCCCUCUUAAUAGUACGGUUUUUCCUAAAACUCGAUUGCAAUAAAUAAACUAUCCUAUGCAUUUCUCGAGUUCCGGUCCGCUUUGAUUUUAUACUUUUAGGGGGGGGGGGGGUCUCCAAGCAUCCAUCUUCCACACCUUAGACUAAUGCAUCUGAAAGUAGCUCAAUAAACUCAUUAGUCCCUUAACCACAUUUGUCAUUAAUCACCCAAACCCACCAAGGGGAUUAAUGCACUUUCAGUUUUUAUCCUUCCUAGGGCUAGGGGUAGUCCAAGAUAUUUCAUUGGGAAUUACGCUCUUACUGCCGGGACACCUUCUAGGAUUUCACCUAAGUCUAUGCUCCCACAUCUGAUGGCUGCGACCUGGGAUUUUUGACAGUAUGUAGUCUAUGCUCACCUAGGUCAUUAUCCAAUAUGUAUUAUUGACAAAUUGAUUGGCCAUUGUAUUAUGUGGAUGUUGGAGUGUGGAUCUCCCAUAAUAGGAAAGAGAGGAGCCCCCUUGAAGAUUCGGCCAGGGGACGAGUAGAGAUCGAGUUCGUUAUACGUGAAAAAAUGGCAUACCAUAAAUGAAAGCAUGCAGUUACAACCCGACUGAUCCAAACAAAGGAUGAUUGUUUGAGUGGAAAAGCAUUUCUGGACUGAAUUGAAACUGGAGCUAAACCCGUGAUCAUUAUUAAUCUAAUCUUAAGAUUUCUCUGAAUUCGUCAAAUUUUGGAAAAGACACCGGAGAAGGUUUAUUAAGACCACUCACUGAGAAUUAGCACCUACUAGGUACAUACAUCACGUGGAUGGAUGAUUCCAUGCGUACUCCCUCCGUCCCCAAAAAAAAAAUCAACCUAGGACAGUGUAUGUCUAGAUACAUUGUCCUAUGAAGGGAUGUCCAGAUAUAUUGUUCUAGGAGGGAGAGGUUGAUUUUUUUGGAUGGAGGGAGUAGUUGCAUUGAUAAUUUGAUGGCGACUGACUCAAUACAAGUAAAAAAAAAGGGACUUGGUUGGGAAACAACAAUUUUAUAUUAAUUGCAAUUUCAACAUAUUGGGUUUUUUUUUUCAAAAUAUGCAAAAGUAUUACGUAUCUUUGUAGUAAGAGAAAUGAUAUUGGGUGUUUUUUUAUCCACUAUGGCCCAAUUAGAAACUUGAAUAUUCAAGCAUAACUAUAACUAUAAGAAAUCUUAUGAUAGGUAACGUUUUACUUACAUCACAAAAACAAACAAUUAUGUCAUGUUUCAAAAUCCGUGACGCUCACGUGACAAAAAUUCAUUCGUCACCUAUCAUGCGUCUCUAAUUAUGUUCUUUGAUGAAAACUUUUUUUUUUGUCAUUAAUCUAGUGACGUUUCUUCUUUCGUCAUUAACUUUAUGACACUUAUUUUUGUCAUUAUCUAUCUCAGAAAACAUCACAAAAUGUCUUUGUGGCCUAUCUAGGUCCAUAUAGUGAGUAGCCUGUUUAUGGGUUAACCCAAUUAGAUUUAGGCAUGGUCCAUUUAAGAUGUAGCACUUUACUCAUAGUUUUCAGCCCAAUAUUAUAUCCAUUUGCAUUAGUAUCUAUUAAUAAGUGAGCUAAGCCAAUUUCAAAAGCCUAUAUAAGCCCAAGCAUUACACCCAACAACAGCCCGUAUAGACCUAAGCACUAUACCAAAUAAUAGCUCAUAUAUCAGAUAGGUUAUAUAAGCCCAAUUAACAUCCAAUAUUGCAUAAGCUCUGUCGGCGAUAUGGGCCCGGGGGCCGGGGGUACCAAACCCAGGAGGGAGAGGCUACCCCCACAGGACACGUGCAAUAAAUCCCCCAUGGGAGCACGUCCUUGUGUGGGGGGCGGCCAUCCCCCCUCGGGCUCGGGACCACCCCCGCACCCCUCGGGCCCGAGGGUUUGGGUUAUCCCGAGCCCCUCGGGCAGGUGCCGCAUGGCAACCAUGCAUGCAUGUUAAGUGGAACGACUGCUACCCACCUAACCGCAUUUAUGGCAAGCGGGGCAGGCGCGCUCCGUCGCACCGAAUGCGACGGGAAGCGUGCGUCGUGCGCCUGCGACCCGUCUGUGACCCACCUGUGACCGGUCUGCGACCGGGUGAUGAAUGGAUGGGAUAGCGGCAAGCCCCCCACGCCCCGAGCUCAUGUCAGGCGGCAUGAGGGCAGGUAUGCCCUGUCUCGUCAUGAUGAUGAGGAGCUCUGUGCCCCUCAUCCAAUCAACAGCCGGCUUGACCAGCCGGGACGUGGCCGACAUUGUGCUCUCGGUACAUGCAUACUUCCAAAGGUCCUCAUGCAUUAAAUACCGAAUGACAGCGUUGUCCCCUGUGUCAGCCAGCAGGAUUUGAUGGGACUUGCCCAGCAGCCGACGUGCGGAUGACUUCUGGAUCAAGGCUCAAGACAUGCAUUAAAUGUAGAGAAUAUUUUCCUCUUCCCGAUGGUGGCUCUUGCGGCACAUGUGGUAUCCCCUUAGAGUAUAAAAGGAGGACCGCGCCUAGCGGAGGAGGGGGGAUCGAACCUUCGAGGCCAGCGGCUAAAGGAUUGAUCUGCCUUAGCUUGCCCACCAGGGAUUCAGAGACUUUGGAAGCACAAAAGAAUCAUCCCCUAGUCCUCAUCGUCACUUAGAAAUUAACCCCCUCUAAUCCACUUCACAUACGUCCUAAAAACUCCUCAAGAAUUCACCCGUGCCCCCGGCCGAACUCACAAAGGGGGGCCUCACAGCCUCCCGCUGGAGGGGACCACUCUCUGACAAGCUCAAUUAAAAUCCAAUAUUUCACAAGCCCAAUUAACAACCAAUAUAACACAUACAAGCCCAAUAAUAUACAUACAGGUUCACUGUCAAGAACUCAGUGAUCACAACCAUCUCACGUCGAGAGAGAAGGGGAGAAGAGAAGAGAGGGGAGGGUGGUGAAGAUGGGACUGACAUGUAGGUCCCACAUGACAGAGUUGACAGAUUUCGUGACGGGGUGGCAUGUUCUAAUUUUGAAACAUUAUAGUGGCAUCCACCUGAUUUCAUAAAUAGUAAUGAUAUAUUUUCAAUUGGGUAAAUUUGCAAUGGCAUGGAUCCACUUAACCCCCGAAUCAAAGGAUUUAUGAAGGAAUUUUAUAGAAUUGAAAUCCUAUAGGAAAGUUUCCAAUUUGACCCUUUGAUUAGAAGGAUUGAAUUUUUUAAAUCCUAUAAAAUCCAUAUGGAAUGGCUCAUUACAUGUAGGUUUAGGACAAAAUUUAGCAAGAUAUUUAAUCUCUUGGAAAAAUUUCUUUGAGUCUAUCUCUUUCAUCCGAUUCAUGUGUUUUUUGUGCGGUCCAAAUGUCCAAUCAAACGAUCAUUCCUAUCUUUUGCAAUCAUCUAUUUUACACUUAUAAUUACUGUCAGAAUCAUGUGUUUUUCUAUUAUUUCAUUUUUCUUAUUUCUACGAUUCAAAAGGCCCUAAACAGUUACAUACACUGCACUUGAUUCACCUGCCUUUGCAAGUGAUUCUGUUCAGGCUUCAGCUUCUACCAUAGCCUCCAAUAUUCACCCGUACCUUUGGUGAAGGCCUUGAGCCUUCCAUAGAGCAUCACAAAGACUAGCAGCAACUUUCCUUCAUCGCUCCACCAUCCGGACAAGCUGAACGGCUUGUCCUGGCAGAUGCUCCCCGGGUGCAGUUUUUGCAACCUCGAACAGCUGUAACCAGUGGUUAGUCCUACAUUCCCAUAUGCACUAAAAAAAAGAAGAAAUAUGAGAAAUAUUCCCAUAGAAAGACAGAAUAUUAUUAUUUUUAUCUUGUUAAGUACAACCUUGUUAAGGGUAUAGAUGUUUGUUAAGGGUAUAGAUGUAAAGAGUAUUUUGGUCAUUUUCUCUAGCCCUGUAAUCUACUAUAUUGUCUAUUGGGCCAACUUCUGUGGUAAUAUAACACAGAAUUGGUAAAAAAAAUAUCGUAAGUUUUUUAGACAAAAAAAAUAUCGUAAGUUUUUUACUUAAAGUGUAACUAUAGUAUAUAGUAUAAUUAGGGACAGAUCUAGGGGAACUUAUCUCCUUCUUUCUUCUUUAGUCCUUCUUCAUUCUUCAGUCCCUCCUACUCUUCAUUUUUUCCCUCUUCUUCUCAUUUCAUCUCCUUCUAUCAAUGGUGAUCUAAUGGGGUAAGUCCUCCCCCUAGUAUCCACACUGAAUUUGCCCUUGAGUAUAGUUGUAGUGUAACUACAAUGUAAUUAUACUCUACUGUAUCUACAUUGUAAUAUCUUCACAAGUCAUAUAUAUAGCUGCAUAUAUUAUUUUAAUACUUAUAUACAAGUUUGCUUUUAAAAAAUACUUAUAUACAAGUUAUAAUAUAAAUAUAGUUAUAGUGAAAUUAUAUUAUAAUUAUUAGAAAACCUAGACAACGGUAUCCCAUUGGAACGAGAUACCCUUAUAUGAGACAGUACCUGAUACCUAUUAUGGUAUCAGCUGCAUAAUACCCGAUACCUGUUACCCGGUACCUGUGAUACCUAGGACCUAAUACCUAUGAUACUCGUACAAGAGAAUAGUUAAUAUGUCUAUCCCGUUGUAACGGAAUCCCGUUUUGUAGCAGCCCUCUAUAAUUAUACUUUAGUUAGAAUUGAAAGUUUUUUCAGUUUUUUUUUAUAUAGUCCCAAUAUAAUAAUAUAUAACCCAGUCAAAAAAAAUAUACAAUGAUAGCAAAUCCCCUAAUUGUGACAUGGUAUGGGAGCCCCAGCCGUCACUCCGGCGAGCCUCGGUCGGCGCUCCGGCAAGCCACCGGUGGCUCGAUGCCCAAAACCCCAUCACAUCAUUACCUCAGUUCAGAUCAACUCCAAUCGUCUCGUCAGUCGUCAUCUUCGUCAACUAGGUGCAGCGGCAGCCGUCAUCUUGGUUGAGAGCAGCUCGAUCCGGCCCUGAGGUCAUCAGAUCCGAUCUCAGUCCCAAAUCCAGCCGCGGCGCCGUCGUCAGCAAACAAGCAGCAGCCAGCAGUAUGCAUUGCAUCGUCGUCCAUCUUCAGCAGGCAACCAAUAGCAGCACCAAAGAAAGGUGUCUGAUCUGCAUAUUUAUUCUGUCUUCUUUCUCUUCGGAUAGGUUGGGUUUAGGGCUGACCAUCUUUAGUAGCAGCAGUGGCAACCUGUGGUUCUCUUCUUCAUCAGCUAGUAACAGCAGCAAAAGCAAAUGCCUCUUCUUUCUUCUGGGCUAGCAGCAGCAUUGUAGCAAAUUCCAUUCUACGCAUGGCUUGGAUUGGUCUCUGCUCGGCUCAUUAAUUCAUAUCAUCUUAUUUCUCAUGCUUGCUACUGUCAUUACCACCUUAUUCAUUAGGUUGAUUUCCUGAUCAUUUCUUCACAACUACUAACACAAGGUGCUUGACAAAAUGCUUCAAAGAGUUGCUCACAGCUCCUGGUCAUGCUUUUGCUGUCCAAACCUGUGCUUUACUGAAAGUUUUCGUGGUCUUUCAUCACCAGGAGUUGUCCAUCUUCAUCAGCUGCUGCUCUCUGCUACCAAAUUGGAUAGAAUCAGCUAGUCUGCAGUUUCUGGGCAGCCAGCAUUUUGUCUUUUGCUGGCAUAUCAAUGUACUCUACAAAUCGAUUUCUUUUGUUUCCUAUCUAGUCUAUCUAUUCAAGUCCAGCUGCAUAUAUACUGGUAUCAUUGUGUCAUUUGCUAGUUGCCAUCGAGUCCAUCAAACUCAUUGCACAUCCUUCAAUUCGUCAAAGUCAUGCCAAUCUAUCUCCAACUUCAUCAGCUCCACAUCAGAGCUGAUCAUUGUCAUUUCACCAUCAUCAUCAUCAUCAUCAAUCAGUGAAGGGCUGAAGAACAAUAUGUGAAGGUCCUUUACCAUUGUCAUCAACGUCUCCGAUUUAGUGAAGAGAGCCGAAGAAUAGUUUGUGAAGGCUUCAAGGUAACGAGAGCCGAAGAACCGAGGUCCACUUCAUUGAGGAGGGGAUGAAUUCUUCUUCUUCGUCAUCAUUUUUCAAGAAUUGCACGCUUCAACAAUAUUUUCAAGCAUGGCUUUGAUUUUAGUUUCAAAAUGAAAUAUAUGGAUCAUCAUCCUCAUUAACCCAUUGUCUAGUUUCAAAAGCAAUGCUAUUGCAUACACAUUGCAUUUGAUAGGGGGUGUUAAAGGUAUAGAUGUGAAGGGUAUUUUGGUCAUUUCCUCUAGUCAUGUAAUCUAUAUUGUGCCUAUUGGGCCAACUUAUAUGGUAACAGUAAAUCCCCCAAUUGUGACAAAUCUAUGGGUUAGUUGUAGGGAUGAAAACGGAGCGGAUAGUUUCUGUCCGAUCCGGACAAAAACGGAUACGGAUACCUUUCGGAUCGGAUAAUUCUCGGAUAGUUCAGAUACGGAUACGAAUACGAAUAUUUUCUCCCGGAUACGAAUACAAAUAUGGUAUCAGGGUUUCCGUCGGAUACGGAUAAUAAUUCGGAUAUCCGGUGAACAGUGCUAUUCGGAUAUCCGCAGGACCCAUGAGACAUACCCCAUUUCUUUCUAACUCUAUAACCUUCAAUAUACCUUUAUAGAUUUUUAAUAGUAGUUUAUCUCUUAACACUAGUCCAUACUAUUAAUAUUAUUUAAAUUUUAAAAAAUAUUUAUAAAUUAUACCUCAUUUUAUAUAAAAUGAGCUAAUUAUAUAUGUUGAUAUUUGUUUCUAUUAGAAGUUGAGUUGGUUUUCGUGUUCCGAGAAAAAAAUGUUUCCGUAUUCGUGUCCGAUCAUAUUCGAUUCUUAUUCGUAUUCGAGAUAAUCCGUAUUUGUUUCCGUAUUCGAGCUAUCCAUAUUCGUUUUCCUAUCCGGUAAAAAAUAUGAAAACGAAUAUGGUAUAAGCAUUAUCCGUUCGUAUCCGCUCCGUUUUCAUAGCAGAGGUUGACAAGAACAACAUGUCAAUGUAACCUGGCUUGAACUCUGGGCUGCUUGGCUUCAGAAACAUUAAUAGAACUGAACCUAGGAUGCUAAUGAGGAGGAAGUAGGACAGUUGGAUCCAGAAUGGGUGAACAUGCAAGGAAACGAAUCUAUAGAUGAGGACAAUUGAAUGAAGAACAUAUCUACAAAUGCUUCUGAAGCUCUGACACUUGGUAUGAAUGAAUUCUUGGUAAAUGCUCGUCAUUUUGAAGCAAAGGAGCUAUGAGUAUAACAAAGCAAAUGGAGUGCCUUUUUGCGAAGACCGGUCUGCAGCUGGUGUUAUAUAUAGGGCAAUGAAGCAUUGGCUUUGAAGCAUCUGGUUGUUUUAAAAUCAAUCAUUGGAGAAGACUAUUAUAAGAGAUUAUUCUGAGUACCAAGAGAGUUUCUUUCCUCUUCUGAAGUAAGAAACAUUGUCUCUUUCUGUAGGUACAAUACCUCCUCACCAGCAAUUGGUGAGGACAAAAGAAAAGAGAACU
rnacentral:lncRNA from 1 species